rnacentral:lncRNA from 1 species
UGCUAGCUUCCACCUGGGCUCCAACUGCCAGACCCCCCCAGAGCUUCACACAAGCUAUCGCUGACUGCCGGUGCAUGUUGGAAAUGGGCCACAGGGCUGGGCAUGAUAUGAGCUGCCUGGACAUUGGAGGGGGCUUCCCCGGAAUGGAGGGCUCCGGGCCCAAGUUUGAGGAGGUUGGCGAGAGUGAUCAGUGCUGCCCUGGCCCAGGACCUCCCUGAGGAGCGUGGUGUCAAGGUCAUCGCAGAGCCUGGCUGCUUCUAUGUGGAGUCUGUCUGCAUGGCCGCUGUCAACAUCAUUGCCAAGAGGGCUGUGCUGGAGCCCGGGAGGCAGCCGGAAGCUGGUGUAUUAUCUCAAAGAUGGCCACUAUGGCUCCUUCCGCCUCUGCUACCGAGAGCCUGUCCCAAGGGUUCCCAUCGUGGUGAAGGUAAGGGGGCCACUCCAGCCCCGAGUCUAGUCCCUUACCUUGAGGUGCCUUGUGCCUCCCCUACUGGGAACAGUGGCUGUGCUGGACCCCAGAGGCAGGUCCUGGCCUGCUGCUUAGAACACAUGUGGACACGUACAUGAUGUGUGCUCACAGAUCAGAGCGUGUGCAGCAGCUGGAUAUGUAGGCCUCCUCAGGCAAAGGGGCGAUCACCAGAACACAAAGGCGUGGGUUGUUUUCCAAAAUAUUGAAGUUCUUCUCCCUGGUGGCUUAAGAGCCAUUCCUUCUUCCUGGUGGUUAAAGAGCUAUUCCCCCGAGUCCACCAGGGGCCUCCCUGCCGACACUCUUGCUGCUCAGUCCCUCCCACGAUCUGGCAACAAAGCUUCAAUACCUGACCCUGUAGGGCCAACAGGAUCUUCCUCCAGCUCUGCAGCAGUUGUCUCCUAAUGUGAUGGGUUGGUGUCCGGGCCACACUGCUUUGUAAAUAUCUUGACUGUUUCUCCCGGCCAGUGAACGUCUUGGUGUGUGCACACAUUUGGUCAUGUAUGUGACGUGUGUUUGCAUGCAUGUGCGAGUGUGUACGUGUGUGAAGUGUUUCUGGGUGUGUGUCUUCGUGUGUGUAUUUGCCUCUCUUCUCAUCGGAAGGAGUGAGUUCUGGAUGUGGAGGAACCAGUAGGAGACCCUGUGUUUGUUUGGUUCCCACAAUAGUUUUCAAUUUUAGUUGCCCAUAUUAAAAAAUCUAGACAUAUUUCA